rnacentral:lncRNA from 1 species
AUCGAUAAACCCGCAUAGCAGCUGAUAAAGAGCAUUGCCUUGAUCGAGCUGACGGAGGCGACUGUCAAAGCCGAGCACUUCCAUGGUUGGAUUGGGCGACGCGGGCAUUCAAGCGACACAAGCAGCGAUCAAGCAAGCGAGUGAAGAGCUUAAGUCCUAUUGUCCUUAAGCGACUUCACGAACGAUAGGACUUCUAUUGUCAGUUUGACUACGAGAAAACACGAGUUAAUACGGUUAAAAUAGGUGCCGGUUACCAUUAGUGUCUCUUAAUUCUUUUUCGGAAGCAAAAGGAGAAAGAAAAUAAAGAAAGAAUUGAUUCUCCCUUCCUGACCAGGUUCUGCCCCCGGUCCCAUCUCAGUAUUUUGUACAUUUGAGUAUACCGUCUCGGGGACAAACGAUAGCCGACAAACG